rnacentral:rRNA from 1 species
CGCUAAGGACAGUGCUUCGGUGCUGGCCAUUGCUUUUCAACCGGACUUUGGAAAUCGCUUUCUAACCCUAAUUUUAUUUGACAUCUGGCCUCAAAUCAGGUAGGACUACCCGCUGAACUUAAGCAUAUCAAUAAGCGGAGGAAAAGAAACUAACAAGGAUUCCCCUAGUAACGGCGAGUGAAGCGGGAAGAGCUCAAAUUUGAAAUCUAGUAGCCUUCGGCUGCUCGAGUUGUAAUCUAUAGAAAUGUUUUCCGUGCUGGCUCAUGUACAAGUCCCUUGGAACAGGGCGUCAUAGAGGGUGAGAAUCCCGUACUUGACAUGAAUUACCAGUGCUCUGUGAUACAUUUUCAAAGAGUCGAGUUGUUUGGGAAUGCAGCUCAAAAUGGGUGGUAAAUUCCAUCUAAAGCUAAAUAUUGGCGAGAGACCGAUAGCGAACAAGUACCGUGAGGGAAAGAUGAAAAGCACUUUGGAAAGAGAGUUAAACAGUAUGUGAAAUUGUUAAAAGGGAAACGAUUGAAGUCAAUCAUGUCCUUGGGUCUUACCACCCUUGGAUGGGGUCAACAUCAGUUUUGAUCGGUGGAUAAGGAUAGGAGGGAAGGUAGCACUCUCGGGUGAACUUAUAGCCUCCUGUCGCAUACACUGGUUGAGGACUGAGGUCUGCUAUAC